ACGAAGAGGCCCCUUCGGGGGUACUUCAGUGGCGGACGGGUGAGUACAACAUAGGUGACCUACCCCAAAGCGGGGGAUAACAGUCCGAAAGGAUUGCUAAUACCCCAUGUGGUCCUUGAGAUUUGAGGCUCGAUGACUAAAGGAGUAAUCCGUUUUGGGAGGGGCCUGUGGCCCAUCAGCUUGUUGGCAGGGUAAUGGCCUACCAAGGCUACGACGGGUAGGGGGCCUGAGAGGGUGACCCCCCACAUUGGCACUGACACACGGGCCAAACUCCUACGGGAGGCAGCAGUGAGGAAUAUUGCACAAUGGGCGAAAGCCUGAUGCAGCAACGCCGCGUGAGCGAUGAAGGCCUUCGGGUCGUAAAGCUCUUUUGAGAGGGACGAGAUAGGACGGUACCUCUUGAAUAAGUCACGGCUAACUACGUGCCAGCAGCCGCGGUAAAACGUAGGUGGCAAGCGUUAUCCGGAUUCACUGGGCGUAAAGCGAGUGCAGGUGGCUUUGUAAGUUGGAUGUGAAAUUUCCCGGCUUAACCGGGAAGGGUCAUUCAAUACUGCAGGGCUUGAGGGCAAAAGAGGGGGGUGGAAUUGCCGGUGUAGUGGUGAAAUGCGUAGAUAUCGGCAGGAACACCUGUGGCGAAAGCGGCCCCCUGGUUUGCUCCUGACACUCAGACUCGAAAGCUAGGGUAGCGA
rnacentral:rRNA from 1 species